GGAAGUCAACAACAUUCCCUGGUGAAGCAAUGUGACAGAAUUUUAUAGUGGAAUAAUGCGACAGAUUUUUCCAGAUGGAAUAAUGCGACAGAAUAUUCUUGAUGGAACAGUGCGACAGAGUUUAUUCGGUGGAAAGUCUCGUCAUGUUUCCCUAUCGUGGAUGAUAGUAUUGUAAACGGAAAGGAUUCUUUUUUGAGAGUUAACCUGUGUCCUGGGUGGCGUUGUGGAAUCCGACCAACAGCAAAGACGGAAUGAAUGUGAUGUGACUGUAAAACUCUUUAUUGGUUCCUGCCUGACUUUGAUCAUCCUGACCAAGUUAGCGUAUCGAAAGUGAAAGUGCCAGCAAGAAACAGACGUGGAUCCCGCAGGCAGAAGCGCGGUCACUGGGUUUACACAAUGCCAAACAUGGAAAGCGGAAUCUGUGGACUCUGAGGAACUACUUGUGUAACUACUACCCCCCGAGGGCUGCGGAGGCUGCAUAAACAUCCUGCUCUUUGGCAUGGUGGGGACUGGUAAAUCAUCGACCAUCAACAUAUUCCUCUCGGCUCUGGAUCCAAAAGGAGUGACCGUAACCUGUGUCCCAACGGGGAUGAAUCCCUACGUUCUCACAACAGAGCUCAGAUCCUACAGAGCAGGGAGUUUAAGGUUUUGGGAUUCAACUGGAUGGAAUGCUCUGGCGAACACUGAUCAGACAAAGAGAGUGUUACAGACGACCCUGGAAGGAAGCCAAAGGAACAAACUUACCGAAUUUAAAUCCUGAUGCCAACUAUCCUGUUAUUCCGGAAAAUAUAAUACAUGGAGUUGCACUCAUAGUUAACAUCAACAUCAUAGACAUGAUCAGUGACAAGAAUAUGAUCAAGUCUGAGGAGUUACAGACGAUCGUGGCACAGAAAUUUUGAAAUGUUGGCAGAACGUACUGGGAUGGAAAGGCGUUCCAUGUUUGUGGAAAUCAGUGGAGAGGUGAACGGAUCGAGAUGAUAAGAUGCAUCCUGGCCCUGUAUAUUCUGAAUAAUAUGGUCAGAAAGAUUGACCGAUUUCUCAAAGCAGUGCAAUGGUCACAGCUGACCUUGUCCAGUGUUGUGAAUCUGAUCCAGUUUCAGGAGCACAGACACUGCUGUGGGAUUGAUGUUUUUAUUGUUUUCCCUAUAGUUUUAGCAUUCUUUAUGCUUGUUUAUAUAUUUGUACAAUCACCUGUUUGUCUGUAGACUUUCAGUAACAUUGUAUAAUUGGUUCUACAGUUGUCACCCUGCAGAGCUGAUGCGCUGUAUGGAAGCAUCAUGAACCUUGUCGAAAAGUUCUAAGCAGGAACUCUUGACCCCUGAAAACUGGUGAAGUGCAUGUAUUUUAAGAUAUAAAAGACCAUGCUUGUGUUCGCUUUAGCAGAGUCUCUUAGUGGUCUCU